AGAGUUUGAUCCUGGCUCAGGAUGAACGCUAGCGGCAGGCCUAAUACAUGCAAGUCGAACGGGAAUGUCUCCUUCGGGGGACAAGAGAGUGGCGCACGGGUGCGCAACGCGUAUGCAACCAACCCCCGACAGGCGGAUAGCCGGUGGAAACGCCGGAUAAUACGCCAUGGUUCCCUGGAGGGGCAUCCUUCCGGGGGUAAAGCCGAGAGGCGGUCGGGGACGGGCAUGCGUCCCAUUAGGUAGUCGGCGGGGCGACGGCCCACCGAGCCAGCGAUGGGUAGGGGAUCUGAGAGGACGGUCCCCCACACUGGUACUGAGACACGGACCAGACUCCUGCGGGAGGCAGCAGUAAGGGAUAUUGGUCAAUGGGCGGAAGCCUGAACCAGCCAUGCCGCGUGAGGGAAUGAGGCCCUACGGGUCGUGAACCUCUUUUACUCGGGGACAAGUGCUCGCACGUGAUGCGAGUUAGAGGGUACCGAGGGAAUAAGCGUCGGCUAACUCCGUGCC
rnacentral:rRNA from 1 species